UGCUUUUUACAUCCAACACAAAAACUGCAGUCGUGGUGCUUUUGAUUGUUGUCACGGACCCGGUUCCGGGGACUCGGGGUCCGUGAACAGUGUGGACCUUUAUUAUCAUUAUCAUUAUUGUUAUUAUUGGAUGUAUGUUUGCGGCACUGUGCUCUUGUGUUCCAUGCUGGUGUGUGUUCGUGUGUGUGUCUGCGGGUGUGGCUGGAGGAUGAAGGACAGCCACCUGCAGGCCUGAUGGGUGUGGUCCUGCCGGCUGCUGGGCACGCCUAUGUUCCCACACACCUGCUUCUGAUCAGGCUCGUCGGGGGAGCUACAUAACAGAGCGAUGGGGCUUCCUCCGGCGCAGGAUCGUUGAGUUAGACUCCAUGAGGAGAGCGCAACACUGGACUGCAGGACGCACGGGGUGUGCGUAGGCACAGGGGCAGAGAGCACGGGAUACCAGCACUUAGGAGAAGACACGUCACGGGAGUCAAGGGAGCACUCAGGAGAUUUAUUGUGUGGUGUACAUUUACCUCACUGUAAAUAAAUGCACUGCUCAUUCCACUAA